rnacentral:rRNA from 1 species
AGAGUUUGAUCCUGGCUCAGAACGAACGCUGGCGGCAGGCCUAACACAUGCAAGUCGAGCGCCCAGCAAUGGGAGCGGCGGACGGGUGAGUAACACGUGGGAAUUUUCCUCAAGGUACGGAACAACUCAGGGAAACUUGGGCUAAUACCGUAUGAUGCAGAGAUGCCAAAGAUUUAUCGCCUUGGGAUAAGCCCGCGUCAGAUUAGGUAGUUGGUGGGGUAAUGGCCUACCAAGCCUGUGAUCUGUAGCUGGUCUGAGAGGACGAUCAGCCACAUUGGGACUGAGACACGGCCCAAACUCCUACGGGAGGCAGCAGUGGGGAAUCUUGCGCAAUGGGCGAAAGCCUGACGCAGCCAUGCCGCGUGAAUGAUGAAGGUCUUAGGAUUGUAAAGUUCUUUCGCCCGUGACGAUGAUGACGGUAACGGGAGAAGAAGCCCCGGCUAACUUCGUGCCAGCAGCCGCGGUAAUACGAAGGGGGCUAGCGUUGUUCGGAAUUACUGGGCGUAAAGCGCGCGUAGGCGGUUUUGCAAUCCAGAGGUGAAAUGCCCGAGCUCAACUUGGGAAUUGCCUUUGGGACUGUGAGGCUUCGAGGACGGAAGAGGUGAGUGGAAUUCCCAGUGUAGAGGUGAAAUUCGUAGAUAUUGGGAAGAACACCGGUGGCGAAGGCGGCUCACUGGUCCGUUUCUGACGCUAAAGCGCGGAAGCGUGGGGAUCAAACAGGAUUAGAUACCCUGGUAGUCCACGCUGUAAACGAUGAGUGCUAGGCGUCGGCAGGCUUGCCUGUCGGUGCCGCAGCUAAC